ACAUCCAUCUGACCGGUACUUAAUCGUAGCCUUCUCUUCGGAGCAGGAGUGACAGGUGGUGCAUGGUUGUCGUCAGCUCGUGUCGUGAGAUGUUGGGUUAAGUCCCGCAACGAGCGCAACCCUUAUCUUUAGUAGCCAGCGGUUCGGCCGGGCCCUCUAGAGAGACUGCCAGGGAUAACCUGGAGGAAGGCGGGGAUGACGUUCAACUCAUCUGCCCCUUAUGAGCUGGGGCUACACACGGGCUACAGAUGGCGUAAAACAAAGGGAAGCAAACCUGUGAGGCUAACCAAAUCUCAAAAAUUACGUCCUCUGUUCGGACUGUAGUCUGCAACCCGACUACACGAAGCUGGAAUCGCUAGUAAUCGCAAUCAGAAUUGCUGCGGUGAAUACGUUCCCGGGUCUUGUACACACCG
rnacentral:rRNA from 1 species